UGGGCGCGCGUUUCGCCCUCACCCGCCCAAUUGUUGCCGCCUCGGCCCCCUCCCCCUUCCGGGUACCUGGAAACCUCGGGCCCGGGAGCCUAUUCCUGCCGGGGACGCGGGCCCGGGCGGCCGCGGGAAGCCAAGGCUCCUCUUGGCUGUGACAAUUUCUCAGACUUUCCUCAUUUUUGAUGACCUCGACAGUGUGGAGGAGUCCUGAUGACAACUUCAGUUCCAGAUAUCAUAUCUGUAUUUAAGGCAGAAGGAUGGAGAAAUGGACAACGGGUAAAGAAGAAAGGAGACUACUGUGGUGUCUGCUAUUUUAAAAAAAUGCUCAUGGACGUUGCCACGUUAUACUCUGCUAACAUUGUCCAGUAAUUGGCCACAUGGCCUCACCUUGUUGCAAGGGAUGCUGGAAACUGUAGCCUUUAUUCUGAAUAGCUGUGUGCUCAUCUGAAAACUGGAGUUUCCCAUGGGUGAAGAAAAGAAUAGAUACUGGGGGGUAACCAAUACUUUCUGUCUUAACACCUUAUUUAAUAUUGUUCUAGAGGUUUUCAUCAAAGCAAUAAAAUGGGAAAACAAAGGACUACAAAUAUUGGAAAGAAUUGGACACAAUUAUUUUUCUUUUCAGAAGAUAUAAUUAAAUGUCUCAAAAUCCACUGAAAAUCUUUUUAGAAAGGAAUAACAGAAUUCAGUAAAUGUGGGAAAUAUUCAAAAAAAUCCAGAGCUUUCUGAUUGAUAUCUUAACCUGUGAGAGACUGGAAAUGUAAUGAAAAAAAUAGGAAAAAAUAUAAUGCCUGUGGAUAAAUUUAGCAAGAAAUGUGUGAAAUUUAUAUGAAGAAAACCAUAACGUUGGCUGAGGAGCACAAAAGGAAGAUCCAGGUAAAUGAGGAAUCUUGGCAUGUUCCUGGAUGGGAUAACUCAGUGUUAUAAAGAUAGACAUUCUCUCCGAAUCUGUCAGUUUCAUACAAUUCUGUUGAAAAUACGUAUUUUUUAAUGUGUCAAGUGAAUGAUGAAAUUUACAUUAAAGAUUGAAAAUAGCAAGAAAACAGUAAAAGAACAAAGGGGCAUGUUCCCCAGGAGAUGUCAAAAUGUGCUGUAAAGCUGCGGUGAUUGAAAGUAUGAUCCCAGCUGAGGGAUUGUUAAUGGGACAGAGUAGAGUUUAGGAUAAAAAUAUAUGUACAGAUGAGAGCAUUGUAGUGUGUGACCUUGGACAAAGUCGUAAAUUCUCUGUAUUUCAAAUAGCUCAUCUGUAAAAUUAGGAUAAAGUGGUUCAUACUGCAUAGGGUUUCUGUAAGGGCAAUAUAUGUAUAAUAUUAAAGCAAAGCCUGGUUUGCUGUAAGCACUGUGAAAGCAUGAACUAUUAUGAAUGCAAGAAUUUAAUAUAUGAUAAAGGUGUUAUUAGGAUCAAAGGGGAAAGAAUCUAUUACUUAAUACAUGGUGUAGGAGUAAUUGACUUACAUUUGGAAAGAGAGAAAGAAGAAAGGAAGAAAUGACGAAAAGGAAGGAAGGAAGGAAGCUCAUUAGAAGUCUAGUUCACAUUCAUUGUAUAUUAAAUAGUAUAGAUGAAAUAUUUAAUUAUAAAAAUCCCCAUAAAAGUAUUAGAAAAAUGAGGAGGAAUUUCAA